UACGUAGGUGGCGAGCGUUGUCCGGAUUUACUGGGCGUAAAGAGCGCGCAGGCGGUCGUUCAAGUCGCGUGUGAAAGCCCCCGGCUCAACUGGGGAGGGUCACGCGAUACUGAUCGACUCGAAGGCAGGAGAGGGUAGUGGAAUUCCCGGUGUAGUGGUGAAAUGCGUAGAUAUCGGGAGGAACACCAGUGGCGAAGGCGACCACCUGGCCUGUUUCUUGACGCUGAGGCGCGAAAGCUAGGGGAGCAAACGGG
rnacentral:rRNA from 1 species